rnacentral:lncRNA from 1 species
AAAGUCUAGAAUCAAAAAGGUGAUUAGUAUCUCUAAGUUCCAGAGAGAGAGACAAUGGAUCAAAUGUGUGGGGCUCACCUAAAUGUGUGAGGUCACCUAAACUGCUUUUGCCACCUGUACUGUAAUAGUUCUAUUUAGGCCCUCAGUUGAUUGGUUGAUGCUCUUCUACAUUGGUGAGGCAGAUUGUCUGUACUCAGUCUACUGAUUCAAAUGCUAAUCUCUUCCAGAAACAUCCUCACAGAUAUACCCAGAAAUAAUGUUUUACCAGCUAUCCGAGGAUGUAUCAAAGCAUCCUUCAGCCCAGUCGAGUUGACACAUACACUUAACCAUCCCAAGGGGAUUUGAGGCAGAAGCCUUUUCAUGUCUUUCCUGGAAAUCACAGAAGUAGAGGACUGCUGGGGUGCAAUUCUCAUCAUCUGCUAUGGUUUUUAGAUGGGAAAAUGUGAUUGUCAAUUAAGAAUCUGAAAAAACUCCAUCCUGGAGCCCUGGCUCCUGGGUGGGCUUGAUUUCCUGGCUUUUCAUCACUGCUCCUGUGGCCAGCUGAUGUUUACUGUCACUGGUGAGCCAGCCUUCCAGGCUCUGUCCUGUUCAUCGUGUGGGCCCUGGGCCAGACACACUUCUGUCAUAAUAGCAGACAGUUACUGAGCACAUGAUAAGCACAUUCCCCUCGUGCACUCAUGUUAGCCUCACAAUGGCCUAGAAACUAAAAGCUGUUACCGUUCCCACUUUACAGAGAAGGAAACUGAGUUGCAGAUGUUAGUAGCUGCCAAGUUUACACAGUUAGCAGGUGGUAGAGUGAGGAUUUGGCCCCAGGCAUUCUAACCACUGAGACCAGGCUCUCAGCCACCAAGCCAUGCUUG